rnacentral:rRNA from 1 species
GGAUGCGAUCAUACCAGCACUAAGCACCGGAUCCCAUCAGAACUCCGAAGUUAAGCGUGCUUGGGCGAGAGUAGUACUAGGAUGGGUGACCUCCUGGGAAGUCCUCGUGUUGCAUCCC